UAUCCGGGGCAGCGGAGCAGGGCGGCCGAAACGGCCCUGGCAGAGGUCGGGCCCCUCGGGGCCGCGUGGCCAAUCAGAUCCCCCCUGAGAUCCUGAAGAACCCUCAGCUGCAGGCAGCAAUGCGGGUCCUGCCUUCCAACUACAACUUUGAGAUCCCCAAGACCAUCUGGAGGAUCCAACAAGCCCAGGCCAAGAAGGUGGCCUUGCAGAUGCCGGAAGGCCUCCUCCUCUUUGCCUGUACCAUUGUGGAUAUCUUGGAAAGGUUCACGGAGGCCGAAGUGAUGGUGAUGGGUGACGUGACCUACGGGGCUUGCUGUGUGGAUGACUUCACAGCGAGGGCCCUGGGAGCUGACUUCUUGGUGCACUACGGCCACAGUUGCCUGAUUCCCAUGGACACCUCGGCCCAAGACUUCCGGGUGCUGUACGUCUUUGUGGACAUCCGGAUAGACACUACGCACCUCCUGGACUCUCUCCGCCUCACCUUUCCCCCAGCCACUGCCCUUGCCCUGGUCAGCACCAUUCAGUUUGUGUCGACCUUGCAGGCAGCCGCCCAGGAGCUGAAAGCCGAGUAUCGUGUGAGUGUCCCACAGUGCAAGCCCCUGUCCCCUGGAGAGAUCCUGGGCUGCACAUCCCCCCGACUGUCCAAAGAGGUGGAGGCCGUUGUGUAAGUUAAAAAUGGGGGCCAAGUAAGUCCUAGAGACAUGCGUGUACCCUGGGAGGGAGCCUGAGGUUCAUCAUCCAGGAAAGAAACCAAAUCUAAUGCUCCUUACCUGUGAGCCUGAGGUCACACUGCAAGGUAGGGAUCAAACAGGGAGCAGACCUCAGGUUUACUGUCGCUUUCUCCACUGCCCAGUCCAUCAUCCAGAAGGCUGUGCAGGGUGGGGGCAGGAAUCAGAGGGCCUGAUGGGGGUUGAGGGUGGGCUGGAAAUGGUGGGAAUAUAAUUGGAGAAGAUGGAUGGGCACGCCCAGGCUGCAGCCCCAUUAAUUUACC
rnacentral:sRNA from 1 species